UGAUCCUGGCUCAGAACGUACGCUGGCGGCACGCCUAACACAUGCAAGUCGAACGAAGUAGCAAUACUUAGUGGCAGACGGGUGAGUAACAUGUAGGUAUCUGCCCUUUGGCCUGGAAUAACACGAGGAAACUUGUGCUAAUACCGGAUAAGUCUUUACGGAGAAAGCUUUAUGCACCAUUGGAUGAGCCUGCACUUGAUUAGUUUGUUGGUGGGGUAAUGGCCUACCAAGACUGUGAUCAAUAGCUGAUUUGAGAGGAUGAUCAGCCACAUUGGGACUGAGACACGGCCCAAACUCCUACGGGAGGCAGCAGUGGGGAAUCUUGCACAAUGGAGGAAACUCUGAUGCAGCGAUGCCGCGUGAGUGAAGAAGGCCCUUGGGUUGUAAAGCUCUUUCGUCGGGGAAGGAAAUGACUGUACCCGAAUAAGAAGGUCCGGCUAACUUCGUGCCAGCAGCCGCGGUAAUACGAAGGGACCUAGCGUAGUUCGGAAUUACUGGGCUUAAAGAGUUCGUAGGUGGUUGAAAAAGUUAGUGGUGAAAUCCCAGAGCUUAACUCUGGAACUGCCAUUAAAACUUUUCAGCUAGAGUAUGAUAGAGGAAAGCAGAAUUUCUAGUGUAGAGGUGAAAUUCGUAGAUAUUAGAAAGAAUACCAAUUGCGAAGGCAGCUUUCUGGAUCAUUACUGACACUGAGGAACGAAAGCAUGGGUAGCGAAGAGGAUUAGAUACCCUCGUAGU
rnacentral:rRNA from 1 species